GAUGAACGCUGGCGGCGUGCCUAAUACAUGCAAGUCGAGCGAACAGAUGAGGAGCUUGCUCCUCUGACGUUAGCGGCGGACGGGUGAGUAACACGUGGAUAACCUACCUAUAAGACUGGGAUAACUUCGGGAAACCGGAGCUAAUACCGCAUAAUAUAUUGAACCGCAUGGUUCAAUAGUGAAAGACGGUUUUGCUGUCACUUAUAGAUGGAUCCGCGCCGCAUUAGCUAGUUGGUAAGGUAACGGCUUACCAAGGCGACGAUGCGUAGCCGACCUGAGAGGGUGAUCGGCCACACUGGAACUGAGACACGGUCCAGACUCCUACGGGAGGCAGCAGUAGGGAAUCUUCCGCAAUGGGCGAAAGCCUGACGGAGCAACGCCGCGUGAGUGAUGAAGGUCUUCGGAUCGUAAAACUCUGUUAUUAGGGAAGAACAAAUGUGUAAGUAACUAUGCACGUCUUGACGGUACCUAAUCAGAAAGCCACGGCUAACUACGUG
rnacentral:rRNA from 1 species